CCCACACCACACCUACACUUUAACUCUUCAGUUCCUAGAGUAGUUACUUUGUUUUGCUUUGGGAAGUGGGCCUUAUUAUAUUUAGUUCUUUAUGUUUCUUUAAGAAUUAUUCUUUCUAAUGGCAGGCGUGGUGACAUGUGCUGUAAUAGUUGCUCUUGGGAGGCAGAGGCAGGCAGGUCUCAGGUUGGAGGCCAGCCUGCUCUGCAUAGAGAGUUCCAGGAUUGGCACACUACACUGGAAAAUCAUAGGUUUAUCCUUUCUAGCCUACACACUCUUUUCCUGGAGUUCAGUAUAUGGAAAUGAAAUGUGUUUUAUUAUAUUGUAGUGAUUCGGUAUAUAGUGAAAGUUGCCCUGCCUUGAUAAUCACCAGAUAAUCAGAACCAUUGCAUCUGAAUAUAUCAGGGUUAUAACAGAAGCCCUAACUAUAGUCAUGCACUUCACAGACCCUUUUUAGAAAUCCCAGUUCCUAGAACAUUGUGAUGCUUCCUUCCCCUGGCUUAUAGACUUCUUUUUUUGUUUGAUUUUUGUUUUGUUUUGUUUUGUUUCUUCCUCAGUUCUUAGCUGAUUCUGUUUGUUGGGUACGGA
rnacentral:lncRNA from 1 species